GGAAACCUGCCCCCUCCGCUGCCCCUCGGCAAUGAAAGUCAAGGUGACAGGGCCAGGAGCCGCACCAGGGACUCCAGCGGUGCCUGCUAGUUCCUAGUGACUCGGUCCUGCGGGGAGCGCAGCUAGUGCCCUGGCUCUCAACUCUUCCGAACCACUCCGCGUCCUCCAGGAGACUGACUUGCCUACCCCAAGUUCACCUUCCCUAGAGCCUGCUGGCCUGCCAACACCAGAGUCCCACAGCACGCCGGGCAACUGGUGUGUAGCUGGGAACCUUAUCAAGAACAGGAGGAAAUCAAGACAAAGAGAAGAAAAAGACCAAACCGACAAACAGCAAACUACUAAGAGAAAGUCAGACAUCGAUCCAUGGACUUGAAACUAAUCUGUUGCAUUAGAGAGAGAAAAGGCUAUUGUGAUAAGACAGAUGAAUGGAGUAACUAAAUUCCCUGAAGCAACCACCAGUUCUAAUGCAGCAGAUACUAGUAGUCUAAAAAGAGGGGUGGUUAUCAUCAUAUCCUGUCAUUCCAUGAAGAAGGGAAAGAAGAAUUUAGAACUAACCAGAUAUGAGAAGUUGCUUUUUUGCCUUCAAAACAUUCACUGUGUCUGUUUGCAGGCAGCCAAAAUAGGCAAUGCACAAAUGAAAAGGGAGUGAAGGGAGGAAGGACUGAGAAGAUUAUAGUAUUAUACCUUAGGGUCUAGUCUUGCAGGCUGCUGGACAUAGUUAGACCCCAAAGACUGCACAAAGCCCCUUUAAAAGUCAAUGAGUCUCUAUCCAGGCACGGGGGUCCACUUGCCUAUUGCUACUUACAAACCCAUGCUGUAAGAAAUCAAGGGAUGUAAGUUAGAGUUCAGCGGUCACUUAUCUUUAGAUAUGUUCCUUCUACCCUGGGAAUGAGUAUUGAUAAAAUGUAUACUUUGAAGUGCUGCAUCACAUAUUUCCACUGUUCUUAAAAUAAUUUCAUGAAAGGCCA